AUGCAGACGUCUGAAAAGGAGGAGGAUAACAGUUCUGUGUAACACAGCAAAGUUCUGUUCUGCGAUGACAUAUCUUCAGCAUGGACACAUCUGCUCCUGCCCAAAAGGAUCAAAGUGCAUUCAUUUCUUUUUAUGGAGUUUGUGACCUCUCUUUUUUGACUUUCAUCACACAAUACAUAAUAUUCCAUCAUAACAGAAUCAUGUGACAACAGACAAACUAGGGCAGACAGUUUCUUUUGUCCAUUUAUUCCUCAGUUCAUUAUCAACAGAGGACAGGAAAUGUCACUCAUUUUUCAUAAAAAUACACCAAUCAGCCUUUAACAAAAAGGUAUUAUUCUGUCAAACCAAUCAUAAUGUAAAUAAACUUAUAGGGAAAAG